rnacentral:misc_RNA from 1 species
GAAAAUUAAAAAUUAAAAAUUAAAAAAAAAUCAAAAUUCAACAAAAAAUAAGUUGUAACUCCAUGAUCAAUCAUACAACAGAAAGUCACACGCUACUUGCCUCUGUUUGUGCUUUGUUUUUUCACAACCCAGAAGAAAUUUCAGGCAUGAAACUGGUAGAUAAGAUCCAGAGCCCUUAAUCUGGUCCCAUGAGGAUCAAAACCAUUUAAUCUAGCAUUCCCGUCAUCAACCAACCUUUCCUCCUCUACCAAGGAUGGAGAAAGCCGCCGCUUGGGCCUCUUAUUCUUGAUAAAGCAAUCCCUCAUCUUCUCCUCCACCUUGUCAAUUGUUGCCUUACAAUUAUCUUCUAUUACAGCUUCAUAAUCAUCAUCACCUACUUGCAUCAUCGGCUCGUCCCUAUCAUCCUCAGCAGCGGCGCCGCCUGCUCCAGUGGCUAAGGAUAGAGAGUUCUCAGGGGCCGCGGCUUGUGGAGGUGGAGUAGGGAAGAGAGGGGAUUGGGUUUGGGAAAUGAAUGAAGAGAGAUUGUGCUGGGCUUGAUGGAGAGAGGAGUAAAUUUGGAGGAGGUGGGUUGGGUCAGUGGUGGAAGGGAGUUGUUUAGCCAUGAGUGUUGCUUGCUCUAAAGACAGUAUGAGAUCAGGCAAUGGGACCGGUGGCGCUUCUGAUGCCAUGUUCUUUGGGCCUGUCCUUUCCUUAACAGUGGACUCGGCUGAGGAUGACCAGAGGACGAUUUGUCCUCUCAGGCAAAAGUGUUUCUUUUUAAU